AACGCACAUUGCGCCCCCUGGUAUUCCGGGGGGCAUGCCUGUUCGAGCGUCAUUUCACCACUCAAGCCUCGCUUGGUAUUGGGCGUCGCGAGUCUCUCGCGCGCCUCAAAGUCUCCGGCUGAACGGUUCGUCUCCCAGCGUUGUGACAAAUUUCGCAGUGGAGUUCGAGUCGUCGCGGCCGUUAAAUCUUUCAAAGGUUGACCUCGGAUCAGGUAGGGAUACCCGCUGAACUUAA
rnacentral:misc_RNA from 1 species